rnacentral:rRNA from 1 species
GCCAGAGGAGGCAAUCGUUGUUCGGAAUCACUGGGCUUAAAGGGCGGGUAGGCGGCCGCGCAAGUGUCUUGUGAAAUCCCACUGCUCAACGGUGGAACUGCAGGGCAAACUGCGUGGCUUGAGGCUGGGAGAGGUGACUGGAACUCUAGGUGGAGCGGUGAAAUGCGUAGAUAUCUAGAGGAACGCCUGAGGCGAAAGCGGGUCACUGGGCCAGUUCUGACGCUGAGCCGCGAAAGCGUGGGGAGAAAACAGG